rnacentral:rRNA from 1 species
GAUGAACGCUGGCGGCGUGCUUAACACAUGCAAGUCGAACGGAAAGGCCCCUGCUUGCUGGGGUCCUCGAGUGGCGAACGGGUGAGUAACCCGUGGGUGAUCUGUCCUGCACUUCGGGAUAUGCCUGGGAAACUGGGUCUAAUACCGGAUAGGCCCCUGGUUUGGAUGCUAUUGUGGCACGAUUUUCGGUGUGGGAUGAGCUCGCGGCCUAUCAGCUUGUUGGUGGGGUAAUGGCCUACCAAGGCGUCGACGGGUAGCCGGCCUGAGAGGGUGUACGGCCGCAUUGGGACGGAGAUGCGGCCCAGACUCCUACGGGAGGCAGCAGUGGGGAAUAGUGCACAAUGGGCGCAAGCCUGAUGCAGCGACGCCGCGUGGGGGAUAACGGCCUUCGGGUUGUAAACUCCUUUCGCUAGGGACGAAGCGCAAGUGACGGUACCUGGAGAAGAAGCACCGGCUAACUACGUG